rnacentral:rRNA from 1 species
GACGAACGCUGGCGGCGUGCUUAACACAUGCAAGUCGAACGGAAAGGCCCUGCUUUUGUGGGGUGCUCGAGUGGCGAACGGGUGAGUAACACGUGAGUAACCUGCCCUUGACUUUGGGAUAACUUCAGGAAACUGGGGAUAAUACCGGAUAGGAGCUCCUGCUGCAUGGUGGGGGUUGGAAAGUUUCGGCGGUUGGGGAUGGACUCGCGGCUUAUCAGCUUGUUGGGGGGGUAGUGGCUUACCAAGGCUAUGACGGGUAGCCGGCCUGAGAGGGUGACCGGCCACACAGGGACCGAGGGACGGCCCAGACUGCUACUGGAGGGAGAAGUGGGGAAUAUUGCAGAAUGGGCGGCAGCCUGGUGCAGCAACGCCGCGUGCGGUAUGACGGUCUUCGGGUUGUAAACCGCUUGCGCCUGUGACUAAGCGUGAGUUACGGUAACGUGUAAAGAAGCACCGGCUAACUACGUG